rnacentral:antisense_RNA from 1 species
GGCUUCUCCUUUUUUAAAGGUCUGCAGCGUACCAGCAUUUGUGAAGGCCUGCAGUUCGUAGAAUGAAAUCUAUGUGGAGAUGAUUUAAAAGAACGGUUUCACUGCUAAAAUCCUUUCGAAAUGAGUUCCUUUAAGUUCUUCAGUAACUAAAUCCCCCAGAAAGGAAAGCAGAGAGAAUCUAGCCCUAUACAAUAACAUCCUCUAACAAAGAUUGCUAAAGGAAGAUUUUAGUAGAUGAAUAUCUUCAAUAAUACAUGGUCACAUACAUGUAUCCGACCAUAUGAUGGCUCUCUGCACCAAAUUCCUCCAAACUAUUAUAAUAUGUAUUGUCUGUAGUGCUAUUUAUUUGGCAGUUAAUCAUGUAUUGCACUGUGACAUUUCUUAUACUGAACCAUUAUGUAUGUGUUUAUAUUCUGCCCUCAGCUACUCAAUGCCAGUACCUUAUUCUUAACACAGCAACCACCCUUUCUGGUCUGUCGUCACACCCUCAUCCCCAUCAUAGUUGUUCUCCUCUCUCAUGGAAAUGUUCAGUUUCUGGACAUCUCCUUUCUCUUCCAUUCUUCACCUGACCUUCCUUCCUUUCUUGGCCUGCCUGAAUACCAUAAAGGGAAUUUUAUUUCAAACCCAGGAUCACACUUAAGAGGAAAAGAAACAAAAGCCAGUUCUUUUUAUUGCACAUAGAACAAGGAGAAACUCCACCCCUUUUGUUGUCUGGUAUGUUUAAAACAAGAAAGAACUUUAGAAAGGUAGGAUAU